AGAGUUUGAUCCUGGCUCAGGACGAACGCUGGCGGCGUGCUUAAUACAUGCAAGUCGAACGGAGUUAAGGGUUUCGGCCUUUAACUUAGUGGCGAACGGGUGAGUAACGCGUGAAUAACCUGACUCAAAGAGGGGGAUAACAACGGGAAACUGUUGCUAAUACCGCAUGAGACCACAACACCGCAUGAUGAAGGGGUCAAAGAUUUAUCGCUUUGAGAGGGGUUCGCGUCCCAUUAGGUAGUUGGAGGGGUAACGGCCCACCAAGCCAACGAUGGGUAGCCGAGCUGAGAGGCUGAUCGGCCACACUGGAACUGAGACACGGUCCAGACUCCUACGGGAGGCAGCAGUGGGGAAUAUUGGGCAAUGGGCGCAAGCCUGACCCAGCAACGCCGCGUGAGGGAAGAAGGUUUUCGGAUUGUAAACCUCUGUCGCAGAAGACGAAGGAAGUGACGGUAUUCUGUGAGGAAGCCCCGGCUAACUACGUGCCAGCAGCCGCGGUAAUACGUAGGGGGCGAGCGUUAUCCGGAUUCAUUGGGCGUAAAGCGCGCGUAGGCGGCCCGGCAGGCCGGGGGUCGAAGCGGGGGGCUCAACCCCCCGAAGCCCCCGGAACCUCCGCGGCUUGGGUCCGGUAGGGGAGGGUGGAACACCCGGUGUAGCGGUGGAAUGCGCAGAUAUCGGGUGGAACACCGGUGGCGAAGGCGGCCCUCUGGGCCGAGACCGACGCUGAGGCGCGAAAGCUGGGGGAGCGAACAGGAUUAGAUACCCUGGUAGUCCCAGCCGUAAACGAUGGACGCUAGGUGUGGGGGGACGAUCCCCCCGUGCCGCAGCCAACGCAUUAAGCGUCCCGCCUGGGGAGUACGGCCGCAAGGCUAAAACUCAAAGGAAUUGACGGGGGCCCGCACAAGCAGCGGAGCAUGUGGCUUAAUUCGAAGCAACGCGAAGAACCUUACCAGGGCUUGACAUCCGGGUGAAGCGGCGGAGACGCCGUGGCCGAGAGGAGCCCGG
rnacentral:rRNA from 1 species